AUUCUCACCCAGAGUUCAAAGUCUGACCACCAGACAGUACGGUUUGAAGUAAAAAAGUAGGAUGGAACAAUUUCUAUACUUUGAAGACCAGAAAAAGAAGGAUCAUUUCAGGGCCUUGAAGCACACACACCAAACACUCUUUCCAUCACCACUGCUAUCAAAGAGUGAGGUUGAAUGGAACUUUGAAAAGCUUAGAGAAAAAUUAUCUUGCAGCUUUCAUAUCUAGAUUUGCUUCCUCUCAUAUUAUAAAUUCUUUCUCAAUAUGUAAGAACCAUUUUCACUGCCCUGAAAUUAUUUGUCAUAAAAAUGAGUAACUCCAAAACAUUGUUAUUCCAUAUAUCUAGAGAAGCUAAAAUAUUUUGUGUUGCUUUGUUUCCCAAGGAAAAGUAAAUAUUUAUAUUUUAAGCCCAAGAGAUCUAGAAAGUCAUAAGUUAUAGGUUAUGUUACAAAAGACCAAAAUAAUGUUAUCGCCCUGCAGUUAUCCUUCCUGUCCCCCUCCUCCGUACAAUGCCUUGGAUUGUGUGGUUCCCACCACUAUAUUGCACGAGGUUAUUAAGGUUUUUCUGCUUCUCCUCUUGCACUCCCCAACUCAUUUUUUAAGUCAGAAUUACUUGAAUUACACAUCUUUAUGAUUAAUAGUUAUAAACUGACUACCAAGCAAUUAAUGGCUUUCUAGAAACUGAGAAACCAUGGUGGGAUUUCCAAAGAAAACUCACAAUGUAUUUGAUUAACAGGAUUGGUGUUUUGCAUGUAAACCUGUCUGAUAGCAGGAAUCUGAUUGUAGUUUCUUGGCUCCAUGAUAUCUUGAAGCCAAAUGGCUUGCACAAAAUUGACACUCGGUCUUUUAAAGAGAUUUGAGAUCACUACUCAAAAUGUGACUAUGCGUUCUGAAUUAGCUAUUCAGCCCCUUCAAGUGUCCCCUGCCUAUUAUUUCAAAGGGAAAAAAAGUGGGGGGGAGGAAAUGAGAAAAGUUGCUUUCGGCAUUAGCAUAUAUGGCUCCUAGGACCAGAAAAUAAAGACGGACAUUGCCUGAGUUAAUAGGUAAGCUAGGAGAAAUGUGAAACUAAAAGAGCUGUGAGAUCAAGUGGACAUUAGCACACAACUUUAAAAGGAGAAUGCAUUUUUUAAGCUGCAUGUGAGUGAGUUGUAAGUCUCUUGUGAUACAUGUCUCCAGAAACCCCACAGAUCUCAGCAUGAUUGACAUUUAUGAGAAUGACCUUAAGCUCUGAGCCCUAGGAGCUGACCUCUGUCAAUGCAACAGCCACAGGCUCCUUUGCCCCGUGGCUUCCUGGUGGAUCUGGAAGUGAGCAGUGGGAGAUCAAAAGGUGGGAGGUAGAGUGUGCCUUCCUGUCUGGCAGCUGUUGAGCUGGCUGAACCCACCGAGUUCCUGUCUGUCAGUCCUUCCAGAGCUACAGCCACUCUUCUGAGACCUGAGGUUAGAUGGAGCUGCCCAAGUCUGCACUACAGAUUAUAAAGGAUCGUGCCUCUAAGGUAUCACAACCAAAGCUGAUGGACUUUAGUCUCUAUUCACAGAGACUCUAUUUCUCCUUCCAGUCCUGUGGGAGGGUUGUAUUUCCUGCCCAUCUGGCGAAGGUUUGUCCUGUCAUAAGCUUGCUUGGCCAAUGAAAGAUGAGCACAGAGAAAAUGUGUCAUUUCUCAGGAUUAAUUUUAAGAUCCACAUCUCUUUUCCCUAGGAAGUUCAUGUCCAGAUGGAGCCCUCAUUGGCUUUGACUCCUGAAUGAUGGCAAGAACAGUGCCUCCCCUCUGUCAAUCCACAAUGAAUAUGUAGCCUGAACCAGAAAUAAACGUGUGGUGUUAAUUUACUGAGAUUUUAGGAUUUGUUUUUACUGCAACCUAACUUACUGUACCCUAAUCUCAUAGAGGAAUAAGAGCACCCACAGGAGAC